AGGGCUGUUGCUCAGUGGUAGAGCACUUGCCUAGUAUGAACAAGGCCCUGGGUUCCAUACCCAGCACCACUG
rnacentral:tRNA from 1 species